rnacentral:misc_RNA from 1 species
GUAUAAGUUUAUCAACGCUUUUUUAGGGCGAGGAUAUCGAUUCACAUUCUAUUGGACAUACUAUGGGUUGAUGAUAAGACAUAGGUCACCUUUUCAAGGGUGACCUACAUUAAGUGCACAGGUGUAAAGUGGAUUAAGGGCUCGGGCGUGCACAUGCCCCGAAAGGCCAGCUACAACCCUCACCAAUAAUUUCAAUAAUGAUCCUUCCGCAGGUUCACCUACGGAAA